GGUCAAUGUAGUUUUUAAAGGCAGUGCUUUUAGGCCUGACUUUUAAGUCAUGAGGUUCAUCUUUUCAUACGCAAUCUUUGCAGGGGGUCUUUUGGCCAGAAAUAGAUCCGGAAAUGUUCGAAUUUCUCCUCUUCUUUUUAUGGUAUGAUAUGGUUUUUAUUUCUUUCAUUUACAUUGGGGACUAAAGAAACGAUCAGUGUGUUUUGUUUGUUUUAUAGAACUUGUUAUGAGUGUGUAUUUUGCAUUAUAAGCAGUCAACCUGACUACAAACUAUCAUUAUGUGUAUUCCGUGCUGAAAGAGGUCGGGUCAAUUUCGAGUGUUAUCUGACAUCUAAAGAUUCUUUAAUUAGUUCAGACGUUGAUAUAACAAUGAAAAGUCGACUGAACAUGAUUAAUAUUGCAUCUUCUAUAAUUCAAAGCGGAAUUCGGUUUAUGAACGAGAAACUGUAAAGCGUUUUCAAUUUCGGUAUUAGUUAUGUAUGUUGUCUACGUAUUAUCCUGGUUCCCGGUACUACGUUCCGGGUAUUAGCUUUUUGUGUAUGUGAUGUGUAACAUUACGAUCGGGUACCAGCCAAUCUACGUGUGUAUGUGUACAUGAUUUCCCGCCAAAAUGACCGUUUUACAGCUAUGGAAAAAAUAGUCCACAAACGUUCCGUAUAAUGAUAUCAAAUUCAUAAUUAAUCGUAACUUUUUUUUAUCUUUGUAUAAUAAAUAUAACAAAAUGGAUUCCACAAAAUUGAAAAUAGCAUUAUUUUACGAGGAUUUCUGAUAUUUUUCUCACUUCCGGCGCAGUAAUACGUAUGUUUCGAAGAAGCUCGAAGAAUUUGACAAAGUGAAUUGAGAAGGAAACGGAUAGAUUUACGUCCUUGCUAUCAGGGCACAAACCCACUUUAAAGACACUUGUCUACUGCCAUACCCAUCCUAAUUUCAUGCACCAUUUGCAAGCAAGAGACUGAAUGGUUUGCAAAAUUAAAAAUCAGGACGGUGUCCAAUUAAAACAAAAGAACUAAACUGGAUGAAUAUUGUAGGAGAAAUCUAGAGGAAAGUUUUGAUUUGUGAAAUUGGUUUUCCUGAAAAGCCAUUCAUCCUAGCCUGCAGAAAGGUACUAUAACUGUCCACCACCAACUGACGAGCUAAUGUUGAGCUUCACAUAUGGAAUUAAUCAAAUACCAUCAACGUUUGUGUUUUCAGCACAGAUUUCACAAGUUAUGACACAGCUGUGUUUUUUUAUACCUGUUUAUAGAGUUGUAUACUAAAUUUUAUUUUUUUUAUCAAUAAAUAUAUAUUGUGUCA